CCUACGGGAGGCUGCAGUCGAGAAUCUUCGGCAAUGGGCGCAAGCCUGACCGAGCGACGCCGCGUGCGGGAUGAAGGCCUUCGGGUUGUAAACCGCUGUCGAGGGGAAUGAAGUGCAGGUGGGUUCUCCCAUCUGUUUGACAGAUCCCUGGAGGGAGCAUGGGCUAAGUUCGUGCCAGCAGCCGCGGUAAGACGAACCAUGCAAACGUUAUUCGGAUUCACUGGGCUUAAAGCGUGCGUAGGCGGUCUUGUUAGUCAGGUGUGAAAGCCCUCAGCCCAACUGAGGAAUUGCGCUUGAUACUGCAUGACUAGAGAAUGAUAGAGGUGGGUGGAACUGAUGGUGGAGCGGUGAAAUGCGUUGAUAUCAUCAGGAACACCAGUGGCGAAGGCGACCCACUGGGUCAUUUCUGACGCUGAGGUACGAAAGCUAGGGUAGCGAACGGGAUUAGAUACCCCAGUAGUCUAA
rnacentral:rRNA from 1 species